UGAGCAAUCUGCCCUUCUCAUCGGAAUAAGCGUUGGAAACGACGUCUAAUGCCGAAUACGACCUCCUUUCGCAUGAUCGGAGGUGGAAAGCUCCGGCGGAGAAGGAUGAGCUCGCGGCCUAUCAGCUAGUUGGUGUGGGUAAUGGCCCACCAAGGCGACGACGGGUAGCCGGCCUGAGAGGGUGACCGGCCACACUGGGACUAAGACACGGCCCAGACCUCCGUACGGGAGGNAGCG
rnacentral:rRNA from 1 species